CCUACGGGCGGCAGCAGUGGGGAAUAUUGGACAAUGGGGGGAACCCUGAUCCAGCCAUGCCGCGUGUGUGAAGAAGGCCCUCGGGGUGUAAAGCACUUUCAGUGAGGAAGAACGCCUGGUGGUUAAUACCCAUCAGGAAAGACAUCACUCACAGAAGAAGCACCGGCUAACUCCGUGCCAGCAGCCGCGGUAAUACGGAGGGUGCGAGCGUUAAUCGGAAUUACUGGGCGUAAAGCGCGCGUAGGUGGCUUGAUAAGCCGGUUGUGAAAGCCCCGGGCUCAACCUGGGAACGGCAUCCGGAACUGUCAAGCUAGAGUGCAGGAGAGGAAGGUAGAAUUCCCGGUGUAGCGGUGAAAUGCGUAGAGAUCGGGAGGAAUACCAGUGGCGAAGGCGGCCUUCUGGACUGACACUGACACUGAGGUGCGAAAGCGUGGGUAGCAAACAGGAUUAGAUACCCGUGUAGUC
rnacentral:rRNA from 1 species